GGAUGAUUGUCAGGUUUGCAAUUGAGCGACUUACAUAAAGAUUGAAAAAAGGACGGGUAAUUAAAGAAGAAAAAGAAGGAGAAUAGAGACGGGAAGACUUUGCUGAAAAUAGAUCGGCUGGAAAAGAUUUGGAUCGGGUUUGGGAGGGAUCUUUCAGCAAAAGAAGAGUGAACUUGGAGGGAAAAUGGUAGCAGAUGGGAUCUUCAUUAGUUCGAGCCGCAAUGCUGAUGGUGAUUUUGAGUACAGACAUAAAUACAAGCCUGGAAAAUGAAUACAAGAGUCAGGACAAAGCUGCAGUCCAUGAAAGCUCCAACCAAGAAGAAUGAAAAAAUUGUCCCCUUUGAUCGUACCAAAAGGAAGAAGGUGGUGAUUCGGGUCUUCAAAGCGAUCCUGUGGACAAGUUGGCUGACAAAACAGAAUACCUGGCAGAGAAGAAGCCAUGAACAUUUUAAAAGCUAAAUGUAACAACUAAUGGAAAUCAUAUGCAAACCUUGAAGCUUUCAAAACGUGUUUGCUUCUUUGAUGGACAAAGAAAAUGAUUGAUCAUGGAGAAUAGUAUGAUCGCUUUCAAAGUGAAGGGUCUGCUCUGACUUGAUCUGAGUUUUUUCCUUUUACUUAUUUUGACUCAAUUUGUGCUUCUAAUUUGAACAGUUCACUCUUUACAGUAUAAUAUUAAUACUAGAAUAAGUGACAGAGAGGCUGAGAGAGGGAGAUAGAGUUACAGCAUGCCUGUAGAUACAAGUCUGAAAGCAAUUGUUCCACCAUCCUGUAGAUACAAGUCUGAAAGCAGACCAGGAACAAUCUGGAUAAACUCAAGUAAUGAUUCUCAAGAGUAGAGGAGGAAAAUCGGAAAGUUCAAGAUCAGCUAAAGUGGAUGAAGACGCAGUUCAGGCAUCUAGAAGAAGCACAUGAGAAGCUCUGAGACCAGUUCAAGAAAAGUAAGAAGGAAUGGGAGAGGCAGAGGUCUUCAUUGCUUGAUGAGAUUUGUUUGUUCAACACAAACCUGGAGUCUCAAACCAGAAUUUUGAUGAUCUUCAAAAGCGGCUGCAAAUGUGCAACCAAGCUUUGGCCCGUGCAGAUCAGUUUUACAAUGUUAUGUGAUAUGAAUUCAUCAUUUUUUUGCCUGAAUGUGUUUUUCGUAUGAUACAAUAACUGUAUGGUCGUUUGUAAAUGAUCCUGAUGAAAAGUCAAAAGUGAUACGAACAGGCAAAAAAAAACAAGAAAUGAAAGGUAAAGUGAAGUCUUCAUACCUGAACUGUUAUAUUUCUAAGCUUUGAUAAUAAAUUCUUUUGUAUUUA